GAUGAACGCUGGCGGCGUGCCUAAUACAUGCAAGUCGAGCGAACAGAUGAGGAGCUUGCUCCUCUGACGUUAGCGGCGGACGGGUGAGUAACACGUGGAUAACCUACCUAUAAGACUGGGAUAACUUCGGGAAACCGGAGCUAAUACCGGAUAAUAUAUUGAACCGCAUGGUUCAAUAGUGAAAGACGGUUUUGCUGUCACUUAUAGAUGGAUCCGCGCCGCAUUAGCUGGUUGGUAAGGUAACGGCUUACCAAGGCAACGAUGCGUAACCGACCUGAGGGGGUGAUCGCCCACCCGGGAACUGAGCCACGGUCCAGGCUCCUGCGGUAGGCAGCAGUAGGGAAUCUGCCGCAGUGGGCGAAAGCCUGGCGGAGCAACGCCGCGUGAGUGAUGAAGGUCUUCGGAUCGUAAAACUCUGUUAUUAGGGAAGAACAAAUGUGUAAGUAACUAUGCACGUCUUGACGGUACCUAAUCAGAAAGCCACGGCUAACUACGUG
rnacentral:rRNA from 1 species